rnacentral:rRNA from 1 species
AUAAGGGCGCACGGUGGAUGCCUUGGCACUAGGAGCCGAUGAAGGACGGGACUAACACCGAUAUGCUUUGGGGAGCUGUACGUAAGCUAUGAUCCAGAGAUUUCCGAAUGGGGGAACCCAACAUCUUUAAUAGGAUGUUACGAUUGUGUGAAUACAUAGCACAUUCGAGGUAGACGCAGAGAACUGAAACAUCUAAGUACCUGCAGGAAGAGAAAGAAAAUUCGAUUCCCUGAGUAGCGGCGAGCGAAACGGGAAAAGCCCAAACCAGCAAGCUUGCUUGUUGGGGUUGUAGGACUCCAAUAUGGUAGUUCUUUCAGAUAGUCGAAUGACUUGGAAAAGUCAGUCAAAGAGGGUAAAAACCCCGUAGACGAAAUGUGGAAGACACCUAGGAGGAUCCUGAGUACGGCGGAACACGAGAAAUUCCGUCGGAAUCCGGGAGGACCAUCUCCCAAGGCUAAAUACUCCCUAGUGACCGAUAGUGAACCAGUACCGUGAGGGAAAGGUGAAAAGCACCCCGGAAGGGGAGUGAAAUAGAACCUGAAACCGUGUGCCUACAACAAGUCAAAGCCCGUUAAUGGGUGAUGGCGUGCCUUUUGUAGAAUGAACCGGCGAGUUACGAUUGCAUGCGAGGUUAAGUUGAAGAGACGGAGCCGCAGCGAAAGCGAGUCUGAAUAGGGCGUUUGAGUAUGUAGUCGUAGACCCGAAACCAUGUGAUCUACCCAUGUCCAGGUUGAAGGUGCGGUAAAACGCACUGGAGGACCGAACCCACGUACGUUGAAAAGUGCGGGGAUGAGGUGUGGGUAGCGGAGAAAUUCCAAACGAACUUGGAGAUAGCUGGUUCUCUCCGAAAUAGCUUUAGGGCUAGCCUCGGAAUUGAGAAUGAUGGAGGUAGAGCACUGUUUGGACUAGGGGCCCAUCUCGGGUUACCGAAUUCAGAUAAACUCCGAAUGCCAUUCAUUCAUAUCCGGGAGUCAGACUGUGAGUGAUAAGAUCCAUAGUCGAAAGGGAAACAGCCCAGACCACCAGCUAAGGUCCCAAAAUAUAUGUUAAGUGGAAAAGGAUGUGGGGUUGCACAGACAACUAGGAUGUUGGCUUAGAAGCAGCCACCAUUUAAAGAGUGCGUAAUAGCUCACUAGUCGAGUGACCCUGCGCCGAAAAUGUACCGGGGCUAAACAUAUUACCGAAGCUGUGGAGUACACCUUUAGGUGUAUUGGUAGGAGAGCGUUCUAAGGGCGUUGAAGGCAGAUCGUG